UAAACGGCUAAAGAUUUACCAAAACCGACUGCUGUACUGUCUUCUAUGACCUCACAGCACCUAUGAGCAACAACAACACCAACAUUAAUGAGAUUACUUAUUUUGUAGAACUAAAUAUUGAUAGUAUCUUUUCUCAUCGAAUAACUCAGAGUCGGGAAAAAAUUCAAACAAUACCAUUAAAGUACAAGGAUUGGAAUUUGUAGAAAAUAAAAAGUUACCCAUGAAUGAUGAUGUGGCAUAAUCCAUAAAAAGAAGCGGAUCGGAGAAUAAACUUAAUAUUCCAUAUAACGAACAUUUACCAAACACGAGCAUGCAAAUACACCAACCGACCAAACCAACCAGGUUGGUAAUAUGUUUGCCAACAGAAGCGUCCGCAGGAAAAGAGAUACUACAGCGACCACUUCCAACAUUCACGGUAACAAUUGAUUUUAGGUUAUAUUAGAAAGUUUACACUUUAUAGUACUUUUUGAAUAGUAUCUUAACAUUAAAAUUCUUAAAUAUUUUAA